ensembl:snRNA U2 U2 spliceosomal RNA
ACUGUUUCUUGGUUUUUUGGCAAAGACUGAGUGUACUAUUUAUUCUUAUCAGUUCAAUAUCUAGUAUAUCCUGUAUUCAUAAACACUUUGAUUUUUGGAGCAUGGAAAUGGAAUGAAAGCUUGCCCUGUUCACUCUUGUGAUUAACCUGGCAGUACAGUACUUGCAAAAAUAGCAUAGCUCUU